rnacentral:rRNA from 1 species
GACGAACGCUGGCGGCGUGCUUAACACAUGCAAGUCGAACGGAAAGGCCCUGCGUUUGUGGGGUGCUCGAGUGGCGAACGGGUGAGUAAAACGUGAGUAACCUGCCCUUGACUUUGGGAUAACUUCAGGAAACUGGGGCUAAUACCGGAUAGAAGCUCCUGCUGCGUGGGGGGGUUGGAAAGUUUCGGCGGUUGGGGCUGGACUGUGGGCUUAUCACGUUGUUGGAGGGAGAGUGGCUGACCAAGGCUUUGACAGGUAGCCAGCCGUAGAGGGUGAGCGGGCACAUUGGGCCUGCGAGACGGACCAGACUCCUACGGGAGGCAGCAGGCGGGAACAUUGCACAAUGGGCGCACGCCUGAUGCAGCAACGUCGCGUGCGUGAUGCCGGCCUACGGGUUGUAAACCGCUUUCGACUGUGCCGAAGCGUGAGUGACGGUAAUGGGUAAGGAAGCACCGGCUAACUACGUG